CAGCCGCCACGGGAAUACGGAGGGUGCAAGCGUUAUCCGGAUUUAUUGGGUUUAAAGGGUCCGUAGGCGGACUUAUAAGUCAGUGGUGAAAGCCUGUCGCUUAACGAUAGAACUGCCAUUGAUACUGUAAGUCUUGAGUAUAUUUGAGGUAGCUGGAAUAAGUAGUGUAGCGGUGAAAUGCAUAGAUAUUACUUAGAACACCAAUUGCGAAGGCAGGUUACCAAGAUAUAACUGACGCUGAGGGACGAAAGCGUGGGUAGCGAACAGGAUUAGAUACCCCAGUAGUCCCUGUCUCUUAUAC
rnacentral:rRNA from 1 species